GGCUUCCAUACUCAAGUGCGGUGACGUCACACGCCAAGCUCCCGGACUCCAACUAGGGUUCCCUCGUGUGAGUGAUUUGCUGCCGGCCGGAGCACCACCCACACUAGAGGUUGAACUUGAAGGCGACCUGUAAACCAACCCACCGGAUCCGAAAAGAAUUAUACUCCACGGACAGAUAAAUUACCUGUCAAAUAAGGGGACACCCUGGAAUCAUCCAAUGAUACUGUCGAGUUUCGUAGACCUGUUCUGGGAUUCAAGCUUCCAUGGUGGUUUGGAUUAGUUCUGGGGCUGCUCGUCCUCCCCGUCAUCAUCUAUCUGCUCUACAAGUGCUUCCAUCCCCGAUCCGUCAUGGAUCAGUUCCUGAAGUCUCAAGGCUUUCACUUAAAUGGCUGAUUAUAUGCCUAGUUUCUACAAGUGUCCUGUUUGUGUGUGCAACAUCAAGAAUACAACGCAGGAUCACAGAGAAAAAGUCAAGUUAUUAAAUUUUCUUUUCAGCCAUUAAAUAGUUUUAUCUGUUUCUGGGAAAGCGGAAAACUUAAUAUUCUGGCUGCACAAAACCACAUUUAGAGAGGGCACGGGGCUUACUGCAUACUGUGUGACUGCAACAUAGAAUGAAUAUGCCGUUAGCACCUAGUCGGGAAACCAAAUCCAACACUCUGGGGACUUCCUCUUUAUUGUAGAAAAAUUAAAAACAGUCUGAACCGCAAUCCAGUAGCAGCAUAAUUUAGCGUAUUCGUUUCAGGUAUACAAACUGCUGCCAAUCAGCUGUAUGAGGAGAUAGCGCACGCAGUGCAUACGUGCUGUCUCCCUUUUCUCUUCCUGUUUACCGCUACUUUGCCAUAGACAAAAGUGCAUCUGUCAGCAGGUUUGUACCUAUGACACUGGCCCGACCUGUUAUAUGUGCACUUGGCAGCUAA